rnacentral:rRNA from 1 species
UAUUAAGGAAAGGAAAGGAAAUCAACCGAGACUCCGAAAGUAAUGGUGAGUGAAAUCGGAUUAGCCAAAAAUAUAUUCUUUAAAUUGAAAAACUUAAGUUCGGUGCCUUGCUAGCUUACUAGCUACGCAAGCAAUAUUUAAAAAUAGGGCUUGUUUUUUUGCUAUGCAAGCAAGGUAAGGAUGUAUUAGUUAGCAUAAAAAUUUUUUUUAAUUAGUUUUAAAUAAAAAUAAUAAAUUAAAAUUACAUGUACCAAAGAAGGUUACAAACAAAAGUCCUGUAAAUUCUAAAGAAUAUAAAAAUAAAGUACGAUGAGAGAUAACUUGUCGGAAAAUAGGGGAACCAUCCUCUAAGGCUAAGUAUAAUAAAUUUAGCGAUAGUGAAAAAGUACUGUAAAGGAAAAGUUUGAAAAGCGAGUGGAAUACAAAAAGUCAAUAUUAAACUAAUACUAGUAUAAUAAUGAAUCGGUGAAAUAGAUCUUGAAUUAGUAACUCUAUAAGCAGUCGAAAUUCAACUUGAAAACAUACAAGGUAAAUGAAUGACGGCGUACCUUUUGCAUAAUGGGUCAGCUAGUUAAUAGGAGUAGCAAGGUUAAAAGCCCUAGCGAAAGCGACUGGACUAUACAAAAUAAAAAUUAUAAUUGCUUCUUCGCAGAAAAAUUAAAUUUUUUAUUUAAAUAGUGAUGGAUAAGUUACUUCUAUUAGACCCGAAGCCAGGUGAUCUUACCAAGACCAGAUUAUAAUGGAUCGAACGGUUGAAUGUUGCAUAAUUCUCCGAUGAGUUUUGGUAAGCGGUGAAAUGCCAAUCUGACCUGGUGAUAGCUGGUUUUCUACCGAAACAUAUUUAAGUAUGACGUCUACACAAAAUUUAUGGAGGUACAGCAAGGCAAUUCCCAACAAGUAUAAUAUAAUUAAAAAAAUAUUAUAUACGUUCAGGUUGCGGGGAUCUCGAAAAUCUUACCUUUGGAAGCGAAUCUCGGAAUUACAUAAAUUGAUGGUAGACAUUCAGACUACUCAUGCUAAGUUGGGUAGUCAAGACGGAAACAGCCGAGAACAUAGAUCAAGGUCCCAAAUGAUUGUUAAGUGAAAUUAAGGACGUAGCAAAAUCGAAUACAGCUGUGAAGUGAGCCUGGCAGUCGCUACUUUUCAAGAACGUAUGUAACAACGCAUCAGCAAAAAAGAUCGUAGCGCCGAAAAUUUAACGGGUCUAAACAAUCAACCGAUAUCAUGUUGGUUAAGAAUAAAAAUUUAAUCUUAAAAUAAAAAUUGUUCUUAAUCUAGGUAGUAGAACAAUCAGUCAAACCUCUGAUAAAAUAGUGUUUCAUUAUUUUUAGGUUACUGAAGAGAGAAUGCUGACAUGAGUAACGUAAAAAGAAGUUAUAAUACUUCUCGCCGAAUACGAAAGGGUUGCAAAUUGGAAAGGUUAAUCCGUUUUGUGUGAAUGCGGCCUCUAAGGACCAAAACCAAAGUUUUGGCUGAUGAGUACAAAAUAGAAAGUCCUAAUGGACCUGGAAAAUAAUAUUUUGUUAAAAAUUUUUUAUUUUUAACUAUAAACUACCGUACCCUAAACCGACACAGGUUCGUAGGUAGAGAAUACUAAGGCGUAGAGCUAAAAGUUGUUAAGGAACUCGGCAAGUUCACCUCAUAAGUUAGACGAUAAGAGGUACCAUCUAUUAUUUUCUUUUCAUAAAAUUAAAGAUAGGUGGUGGCACAGAAUCGGAGGCCCCGACUGUUUACUAAAAACACAACACAGUGCAAUCAUUAAUGUGAUAGUAUACUGUGUGAAAUUUGCCCAAUGCCAUUAAUAUAAAAGCGGUCAUAUGGAAAUGUGACUAAUUGAAAAUCUGGUUAAUAGCGGUCUUAACCAUGAGGAUCCUAAGGUAGCAAAAUAAAUUGGCCAUUAAAUGUGGUCCGGUAUCAAUAAUGUAACGAUGGCCUCACUGUCUCUACAACUUGCUCAGUGAAAUUGAAUUACGCGUGCAGAUGCGCGUUACCUCCAGUGGGACGGGAAGACCCUAUGCAGCUUUACUGUAGUUAGUUAUCACAUGAAUCUAGAACAACUUUAAUUAAUAGUGAAUAGGUAAGUCGAUAGACAUAUAGUGGAAACCUUAUAAUUAAGGUUGGGUUCAUGUUUACCAUAGUUGGGAGAGUUGACUAAUUGGCAGUUUGACUGGGGCGGUCGUCUUUAAUAGAGUAGCAAAGUACAUCCAAAUAUUUCUUUUCAAUUUUAUUUUUUUAAAUAAAAUUAAAUUAAAUUAUCUUUUGGGCUGCCUAAAAUUUUUAUAAUUUUAGGCACCAAAAGAUAUUAUAACAAAUAACAGAUUGCUUUUUAGAAAGGAAUCGUAACCAAAUUAACUAAAACAAAACUUUGGCUUUACUUAUCUCUAUCUAGCAAAUAUUAUUUUAUUUUUAGCGCUAGGAAGAAACUUUAAAAAAAUUGUUUUUUUUAUAAGUUUUUAGGUAAAGACUUAGUCAUUUAUGAUUAUAUUUUUAUAUUAAAAUUUUUUAAAUAAGGUGUGGCUAGAAAUUGAAUGGAGAUCAAUCAAACCAGUGAAGGGUUGUGUAGAGCUCAAUGGCGGAAAGCACACUUAACUGAAAGACUCAAAAGUCGCACAGAUAUGUAAGUAGGGCAUAGUGACCCCUCGCUAUAGUAUGGAAUAGACGGGGAUCAAUUGAUAAAAGUUACGCUAGGGAUAACAGCCUAAUAGCCGACGAGAGUACACAUUGUCUCGGCUGUUUGGGACCUCGAUGUCGACUCAUCCUAUCCUCCGGGGGAAGAAGCUUGGAAGGGUUCGGCUGUUCNNNNNNNNNNNNNNNNNNNNNNNNNNNNNNNNNNNNNNN